rnacentral:rRNA from 1 species
UUUGUAAAUGGCCGCAGUAUCUUGACUGUGCUAAGGUAGCAUAAUCAUUAGUCUUUUAAUUGGAGGCUGGUAUGAACGGUGAGACGAGAAAAAAGCUGUCUCUGGGAUAAAGGUCUUGAAUUUUAUUUUUGAGUGAAAAAGCUUAAAUGAAUUUGGGGGACGAUCAGACCCUUUGGAGCUUUAUUUAUUUCUUACUUACGAUAUUUUUAAAUAUAAAAGGCAGGAAGUAAAUUUUGUUGGGGCGACAGGGAGUUAAAAGUAUCACUCUUUUUUAUAAACACUUCUCAGUGGAUAAUUGAUCCUUAGUGAAAGAUUAAAAGAUUAAGUUACCCUAGGGAUAACAGCGUAAUCUUUUUGGAGAGUUCAAAUCGAUAAAAAGGUUUGCGACCUCGAUGUUGGAUUAAGAAAUUAGCAAGGUGCAGAAGUUUUGCUGGAGAGUCUGUUCGACUUUUAAUUUCUUACAUGAUCUGAGUUCA